GUUCAAAAGCAAAAGUGUCUACAAAAUAAAUCAAAAAUGAAAAAAGAUCUUGGACCCGUAUCCAAAAUUAGAUUUUUAAAACUUAUUUAGACACGCAUACGUGUCGUUUUCUCCUCUUUUUCUCGUUCUUUCUUCUUCUUCUCCGAUACAACCCAGAAUCACUCUGUAACUCACUUGUCGUUGCUCUUGUCGUAACCCUAGCUACCAAUAAAAUCCGUCGCGACGUCCAUAUCUCCCCUCCUUCUCCUCCUCCCACCACAUGUUAUCCCUUCCGCCUAUCUCACCUAUCCAUCUUCCCCCAACCUCGAUCCCCUUCUCAAAUACAGAAAUUUCAGAUCUACCAUAUCAUUCGACCUCUCUCAAUUCUGCUUCUCUUUUAAAUAUUAGGAUUUGGGAAGACGAAGAGGAACAUGUUUUGUUGAUAGUAAGGAAGAUAUGUGGUUGCAGGAGCAAAUGAUUUGAAAGGUGAAGAUGGGAAUACAAAUGUGGUGAUUAUAUUUCUUCUAGCCUAGGGAGUUAAAAAGUGACGUGAGGACAAGCUGAUGAUAUGGCUUCCAAUCUUUCUACCGUCUUCUCUAACUUGGAGCUACUUUGCUUCCUGUAACCAAGGUUUUAAGACAUUUGUUGUAUCUAAUGAGGAUUCAGAGAAGCCUAUCUAUUGACGGGUUUCUCUUGCUCAUCUCUGUUCGUUAGAGGAUCAGAGAACCAUAUUCAUAGAUGACAAAGGCACGUGAUUGGAAAGCCAUAGAAAACUUAUUAAUCUCAUUUGCCCAAUGUGAAGAUUCACUGAGUUUGUGUGUCAAGGUUUUUGAGUGUGUAAGUUUUGAGAGUGUGGAGUGUGUGUCAAGUUUUGAGAGUCAAAUGUAUCCCAAACACUUGUACCAAUUUUUUCAAAAAUUUAAAUUUUUAUAUCCUCAAAUGUAAUUUCACCAUUGGACUGUGUCUAAAUUGAAAAAUACUUUGAGUGUCUAAACUUUUGCUUUUGCAUUAAAACAAUUAGAAAUAUGGUUUUAGACCCAUGAGGGAGUCUAAACCAUUGGAGAUGCUCUUAGUGUUUCAUUAAGAUCUUAAACCAGUAAAGUUUUAAAAAAAUUUGUACUAAUAUGUUAGGUUAUUUGGCCAGAUUUUGGAAAAAGCCACAAAUUUUUUUGCUAAAUUUCAUAGUAAGUCAGAUCUAGACACAAAUAAACAUCCAUUACCACUUGCACCGAAAAAGUAAAAAACAAUCUGAAACAAUUUUUGCAAAUGUCAAAAGAGGGUUUAUAAAUUUAGUGGCAAUAUAGUUUGAUAUUUGAGUCAGCCCCUGCAGUGAAUAGCCAUGGUUGUCUCGGAUGAAACUUGCAGUCCAAGACUCAUGCAAUCAAAACCCAUAAUAUAUAUAUAUUAAUCUCCUGAAAAAUCAAAAUAUAUGACGAUGACGCAUAAUAGUGUGAUUUAAUACUUUGUAUAAAAGUUUAUGCCGGUUUCUAAUACUUUGACUUAAGAAUCUUUCUGAACUGACUAAUUCCUUGAAAACUGCUGCAGGUAGAUAACAUGGCAGGGCAAGGAUCAACGUCUCAAGCUCUGAGCUGCUAAUAUACCACAACUACAAGCCAACACUCUGUGCCAUCAAGAAAUAGAUGAAGGAUUCAAGAGAGGAUCGAUCUGCUAUGUGGGCAAUUUCCGGUUCGAUUUAACCGAAGUUGGUUUGAGAGACCUUUUCUCACCAUUCAGAGAGGUUAUUUCUUGUAAAGUCAAGAGAUUUCAAGACUCUAGGUUGAGUGGAGGGGACGGCUUUGUAGAGUUCGUCACUCCACAAGAGGCAUUGAACAUAUACUAAUGCAUGGAACAUAUGUAUGAGGGCACAUAUACUAAUGCUACAAUGUCUCUAUACAAGGAAUUCUUUAUUCUAUGACAAAAAAAUAUGUACCAGAGAUGCACCGACAUUCAGACUUGUGUGCGAGAUGAAAUCAAUGAAGAGAAAUGCUCUACAA